GCCAUGCAUGUCUAAGAAUAAGCCCUUGAACGGUGAAUCUGCGAAUGGCUCAUUAAAUCAGUUAUUGUUUAUUUGAUGGUACCUUACUACUUGGAUAACCGUAGUAAUUCUAGAGCUAAUACAUGCGUCAAGCCCCGACUCACGAAGGGGUGCAUUUAUUAGAUUCAAACCAUCGGCCCCUUCACGGGGGCCGUUGAUGGUGAGUCAUAAUAACUUACAGCGAAUCGAAUGGAUGCACGCCGUCCAUGCUUGCUUCAUAUUUCUGCCCUAUCAACUUUCUAUGGUAGGAUCGUGGCCGACCAUGGCUGUCACGGGUAACGGGGAAUUAGGGUUCGAUUCCGGACAGGGAGCUUGAUAAACAGCUACCACAUCCAACGAUGGAAGCAGGCGCGCAAAUUACCCAAUCCCGACCCGGGGAGGUAGUGACAAUCAAUAACUAUGCUGGAUUGAUUUCAAUCCGGCAAUUGGAAUGAGAGCGAUUUCAAAUCAACGCUCGAGGAACCAUUGGAGGGMARGUCUGGUGCCAGCAGCCGCNSSUAAUUCCAGCUCCAAUAGCGUAUAUUAAAGUUGUUGCAKUUAAAAAGCUCGUAGUCUGAAUCUUGGCUUGGCGUUGAGCGUCCGCGGUCGCGUCAAAAACGGCCGCGCGCAUGCGAUAUUUACGCUGGGCCACGCUUCUUUUUCUUUUACCGGAAAUUGAGGCGUCACUUCGGAGGAACACGGGUGCUUUUCACUAAGCGUUCGUGGGAUUCCGAUAGUUUACUUUGAGAAAAAUAGAGUGUUCAAAGCAGGCGUUCAAUUGCCUUUGAAUACAUUAGCAUGGGAUAAUGGAAUAGGACAUUGGUUUCCUAUUUUGUUGGUUUACGGACCGAUGUAAUGAUUAAUAGGAACAGUUGGGGACAUUCAUAUUCCAUGGCUAGAGGUGAAAUUCUUGGAUUCAUGGAAGAUGAACUACUGCGAAAGCAUUUGUCAAAGAUGUUUUCAUUGAUCAAGAACGAAAGUUAGGGGAGCAAAGACGAUCAGAUACCGUCGUAGUCUUAACUAUAAACGAUGCCGACUAGGGAUCGGUGGGUGUUAGUUUUAUGACUCCAUCGGCACCUCAUGGGAAACCAAAGUCUUUGGGUUCCGGGGGGAGUAUGGUCGCAAGGCUGAAACUUAAAGGAAUUGACGGAAGGGCACCACCAGGAGUGGAGCCUGCGGCUUAAUUUGACUCAACACGGGAAAACUCACCAGGUCCAGACAUGGUAAGGAUUGACAGAUUGAGAGCUCUUUCUUGAUUCCAUGAAAGGUGGCGCAUGGCCGUUCUUAGUUGGUGGAGUGAUUUGUCUGGUUAAUUCCGUUAACGAACGAGACCUUGACCUGCUAACUAGUCACGGUAAGCAGUGGMGAAAUGUUUUGGUGAAAACCCCGGCUUUUUCCGUUCUUGCUUGCUGGCUGAACUUCUUAGAGGGACAAUCUGUGUUUCCAGCAGAUGGAAGCUCGAGGCAAUAACAGGUCUGUGAUGCCCUUAGAUGUCCUGGGCUGCACGCGCGCUACACUGACGAACUCAACGAGUUUAUCACCUUGGCAGAGAUGUCUGGGUAAUCUUUUAAAAGUUCGUCGUGAUGGGGAUAGAUGAUUGUAAUUAUUCGUCUUGAACGAGGAAUUCCUAGUAAGUGUGAGUCAUCAGCUCGCGCUGAUUACGUCCCUGCCCUUUGUACACACCGCCCGUCGCUCCUACCGAUUGAAUGGUCCGGUGAGAACGUCGGAUCACGCGCUCGAUACUGGUUCACGCCAGCGACUUGUGCGAGAGAAGUUGUUCAAACCUUACCAUUAGAGGA
rnacentral:rRNA from 1 species